rnacentral:rRNA from 1 species
UACGGAGGGUGCAAGCGUUAAUCGGAAUUACUGGGCGUAAAGCGCACGCAGGUGGCUGAGUCAGUCGAUUGUGAAGGCCCUGGGCUUAACCUAGGAAUUGCAGUCGAUACUACUCAGCUAGAGUAUGGGAGAGGGCAGUGGAAUUCCCGGUGUAGCGGUGAAAUGCGUAGAUAUCGGGAGGAACAUCAGUGGCGAAGGCGGCUGCCUGGCCCAAUACUGACACUCAGGUGCGACAGCGUGGGGAGCAAACAGG